CUCUCAUGCUCUUGCCUUGCUCUCAGCCUUGUAUUAAUCCUUGCUCUCUGCUACAGGAUAUUCAUUAUCUCACGAGUGACGUCAGUGCGCCCUGUCAUUCUGCUGCGGGGUGCGGCUGUAACACCUCCAAAACGAGGAGGACCUUGACCCAACUCAAGAUGAAACACAAAAACAUUCUCCAACAAAGUAAAAUAUUUAUAUCAAUAUACCAACGCAUAGAAUUGGCUGAGGAGCUGGUACUAUCCCUCAAAGGGUGACCUGUAUUAAAUGGGAUUCCAGGGGGCACCUCAUCAGACUCGGUCACAAACACAAGUGGCUUAGUCAAAUAUACCGGUGGUCAAGACAUAUUGAUGGAGCCUCCUGUAUCACCACAGUCUGUCGUAAUUGAUGAAGAUGAAGAGACCGCAUCUGCAGUGACAGAUAUUGACAGACCUAGACCCAUCGAGGUAUAUGAUGUCCCGCCACUCUUUUAAUUUAUGUCUUAAACAAGAUGCAUAUUGUCAUUGCAAUUUCAGAGUAUUGCUGGGAAUGUUAAUGAAGAUUAGAGUCAAUGCAGCUCCACCAUGAAUCUUGGCAGUUUGCCUGCCAAAGAGCUGUACAAGGUCUAUCGCCAGCAUAAAAUUAGGAAAUGUGACCUUGAAAUAGAAUUGCUGGAGCAUCAGCUGAAGGUGAGACACAUUUGUGAAUAUUUAAUCUGUUAUUUGUUGAACUGACUAUUAAGCAAUAAAGUCACUUUAUUUCAUUA